AGAGAGCGCUCACAUCCACUGGUUCAUACUGCAACUGAGCAGAGAUCCUACGGUGCCCCAGUGGGAAGCUAGGAGACGGGAACUGCACCGGGGUCUCUCCAACAUGAGUGGUGGUGUCCCUAGGCUUGGGCUUCCAACCUCUGCCUUCCCAGGAACGUUAGCAGGGGGCUGCACGGGAACAGGAGCACCAGGAAUCCUAGCUGCCUCAGAUAUGGAGUGCGGGAGUUGUGAGCUGCAUCACUGCUUUCUGCCGAAGUUGGCCAGCACCCUCUAUGCUUUGUGCAACAUUCCCUAGGGUGCCCGUGUCCGAACUUGCGGAACCUGGGCUGAGGUGCAGCCCCCACUGGCCAUUCCAGCUUGCUGGGGACACAGACUGCAGCAGGCAGCAGGUGAGGGUUGAAGCACUUGGGAUCCUGCCACACACCCUGGAGGUCUGCAGUCAGCUCCUGGUGUCCAGCUACAGCCUAGUCCAGCACUAGUGUUUUGUGAAAUGUGGGGAGGGAAAUAGUGGAUGGGAGGUCUCAGUCUGCCUGUUGGACUUUCUGUCUCAGUGUCCCUCUCCUGGUGACACAGUGCUAUUAAAAUUCCUGUCGUUAACUGCAAAGGCAGAGUGACAGACAGAGGGAGACAGCCAUGACAUGGUCCAAAGCGGAAUUCCCUGUGGUUGGCAGGGGGCCGGAGUACCUGCGCUGUCUUCCUCUAUCUCCCAGGCGUGUUAGCAGGGAGCUGCAUGAGAGGCAGAGCAUCGGCAGUGGAACCCCAGCUCCUACGGCUCAUGCCACGGAGCUAGUGGGCUCCCAGCCUUACAUCACUUAAUUGCUGAAUAAAUCCAUUAAUCGUGAGUAAAAAUGCAUUCCAGUGGAGCUGUCACAUAAUGGGAGGGUGUGCGUACUGCUGGGAUUUGGGGACUGAACCAGCACAUAGGACCGCCUCUGUUUGGUUUUCCUUGUCUGUCUGUCUGUCUCCCAUUCUAUCCAACAAAAUUCUGCACCGUAUUGAAAUUUUGACCAUUAUAUUUGUCUGUUUGCUCUUCCUCUGAGAUUCCUGCAUCCGUUUGAAAGGGGGGGUUGUUGAGAGCCAGAGGGUCACAAAGUGGGAGAGGGACAGCGAUCUUUGAUGUGCCAGAGCCCUCCCCAGCUGCCUGCAGUUGCCUGGGCUGCAUUUGGCUGAAGCCAGGAGCCCACAAGACCAUCCAUCCUGGUGUCGAAUGAGAGAGCCAGGCAGCCCUGGGAUCCAGACCCUUCAACUGACUUCCAGGUGCAUUCUCUGUGAGCCUGAUGUCGAGUGGUACAGCUAUUACUCAAACACAUGCAUAAAUGGGCUGCCUAGCCAUGGUGCCAGUUUCUCAUUGACCUGCCUCAACCCGACUCUGGCUUCCAUAAGCAGGAUGGAGGACCAUGAGCUGGGGGGUGGACAUGGGCUCUGGCUAGUGUGAUAUUUCCUGUGAUGGGCACACCACUUAUGGGAGGGCCUGGCUUCCAGUCCAGGCACUGCUGAAAUUCCAGUGCUUGUCCAGACACACUCUGGGAGCAGCAGGUGAGAGCCAGAGGAAUUGGGUCCCUAUCACCUGCAUGGGAGAUGAGGAUUCUGCUCCUGGGGGCCAUGGAGUCAGUCUCGCCCAGAACUAGGGUUUUCUGAAAUCUGGGAAAGGAAAAAGCAGAUGGGAGGUUUCCUUCUGUCUGUCUGUCUCUGUGUCACCUUUGGAGAGAGAGAGAGAGAGAGAGAGACAGAGACAGAGAGAGAGAGAGAGAGAUCUUUCAUCCUUUGGUUCAUCCCUAAUGGCUGCAAUUGCCAGAGCUAAGAAGAUCCGAAGCCAGGAGCCAAAGCUUCUUCCGGGUCUCCCAAGUGCAUACAGUGGGCCACGAUUUGGGCUAUCCCAUGCUGCUUUCUCAGGUAUAUAAGAAGGGAGCGGGUCAGAAAUGGAGCACCAGGACUUGAAGCAGCACUACAUGGGAUGCCAGCACUGCAGGCCAGGGCUUUAACACAUUGUGCCACAGCACUGGCCCCUGAAUAAAUCUUUAAAAAGAUAAGGAGAGGGGCCGGCGCCUUGGUGCAGUAGGUUAAUUCUCCACCUGCAUUGCUGGCAUCCCAUAUAGGUGCCGGUUCUAGUCCCGGCUGCCCCUCUUCCAAUCCGGCUCUCUGCUCUGGCCUGGGAAAGCAGCAGAAGAUGGCCCAAGUCCUUGUGCCCCCGCACUCACGUGGGAGAAGUGGAAGAAGACCGCGGCUCCUGGCUACCAAUCAGCCCAGCUCCAGCCAUUGCGGACAAUUGGGGAGUGAACCAGAGGAUGUGAGACCUCUCUCUUUCUCUCUCUCUCGCUCUCUUUCUCUCUUUCCUCUCUCUGUUUAACUCUGAAUCUCAAAUAAAUCUUUAAAAAAUAAAACUAUGAAAAAUGUGGGGAGGGAAACAGCAGAUAGAGAUUUUCAUCCAACUGUCAGUCUGAUUAUCUCACUGCGUCACACUCCUGCUGACCUGGUGUCCUCAAACAUUUCCUUCCCUAAUUGGAAAGGCAGACAGACAGACAGAGGGCUAGCAGAGCAGGAGACGGUCCAAACUGGUAGUCCCUGGGGUGGGCAGUAGCCCGAGUACUGGACUGUCUUCCUCGGCCUUCUCAGGCACAUUAGCAGGGAACUGCAUGAGAACCCAUGAAGUGGAACCCUGGCGGCCAGGGCACCUGCCCAGGAUGGAAGUGGAGGCUGAACACCCUGAGCCAUGGGGCUAGCCUGCUCCCAGCCCUGUAUGUCCAUUAAUGAGUCCAUUAUAUGUAAUGUACAGCCUCUAGUGAAGAUAUUGCAUGAUAGGGAGGGCAGUAGAUAUUGGUGGGAUUUGGGGACUGAAACAGCGGAGACAUCCUUGCUCUGUUCCUCCUCUUCUUUGGCUUGCUCUCUGCCUUGCAAAUGAGCAGAGUUAGUGUUUUCUCUAAAUUUUUACCAUUAUACUUGCUGAUUUUUGGAUUCCAACAUGUAUUUACAAGGUAGGGUUAUGGAGGCCCAGAAAGUCAGAAAGUGAGUGAGAGAACAAGAGACAGAGAUAGGUAGAGAGAAGGAGCGAGAACGAGAGAUCUUCUUUGUGCCAGAGCUCUCCCCAGAUGACUGCACUUGCCUGGGCUGGGCCAGACUGAAGCCAGGAUCCUGCAGGAGCUACCUGGUGACCCAUGAGUUUGAGGACCAAGAAAUCUGCCUCUGCUUUCCCAGGCAGGUAAUCUGGGAGUUGGAUGAAAAUUGGAGCAGCCAGGACUUGAACCCAUGCUCACUGGGGAUGCCUGGCCAUAGUGCUGCCUGCUUGGCCACAGCUAUGCACCGCCCCCAGAAGCAGGACUGAGGAACGUGUGGCUGGUGGUGGACAUGGGGACUGGUGGGUGUGACACUCCCUGUGAUGCUCACACCCCACGUGGGAGGGCCUGGCGUCCAGUGCAGGCUCUGCUCCAGUUCUGACUCCUCCCAGACACACUGUGCGAGGCAGCAGGUGAAGGACAGGGGAACUCAGACCCUACCGUCCACGUGGGAGAGCUGGGAUCAGAGAAGCAGACACAGGGAGAGAAAGGACACCUCUCAUCCCAAGUUUGCCAGCACUUGCUCUUAUGCAGAGUGAUGUAGAGAGAAGCAGAGACAGAGACCGCUCAUCUGCCGGUUCACUCCUGUAAGGGUCUCAGAGGCUGAGUGGUACCCCAUGGGAAGCCAGGAGUGGUGAACUGCACUUGGGUCUCUCUCAAGAGAGUGACGUAGAUGCCCAGACUGGGGCCACCUUCAUCAGCCUUCCCAGGCAUAUGAGCAGGGAGCUGCAUCAGAAUCUGAGCCACAGAGGAAAACAGAAAAAUCACACAGAGAGAAGAUAUACCUCCCCUGUGAAGUUGUCCAGCACUCUCUCUGCUUUUGCAGCCCAUCUGUAGCUGUCUGCUUGGGACCUUGGAGAUCCCACAGAACCUGGAAAUCAGGAUUGAGAUCUGGACAUGAAACAGAACCCAAAGGGCACGUUAGCAGGGAGCUGUAUGAGCAGCAGAGCAGCCUGCAGUGGAACCCUGACUGCCGGGGCGCCUGCCCAGGCUGGAAGUGGAGGCUGAGCACCGUGACCAUGGGACUAGCCUGCUCCCAGCCCUCUAUGUCAGGUUAGGAGUAGCAAGUUAAUUCAUUAAUUGUAUAUAAUGUGUGAUUUCUAGUGAAGUGUUCACUGGGUAUGAGGGGAGCGGAUAUGGCUGGGAUUUGGGCACUGACAUAGCAGAGAGAGACAUCCUCUGUUCCAUUCUUUAUCUCUCUGUGUGUUGAUGUGUGCCUUUCAAAUCAACAAAGCUAUACAUUUUAUUUUAAUUUUUGACUGUUAUAGUUGCUUAUUUUUGGAUUCCUACAUUUAUUUGAAAUGCAGGGUUAUGGAGGGCCAGAGGUCGCAGAGAAAAGUCGGGGUGGGGGAAGGGAGAAAGAAUAUGUUCUUCGUGCCAGAGAACUCCCCAUAUGGCCCCAGUUGGCGGGCCUGGGGAAGACCGAAGCCAGGAUCCUGAAGAAGCUUCCAGUUCUUCCAGGAGUCUGAGGGGUGCAGACCAAGCAGACCAGGAAACCUGCUGCUGAUUUCCCAAGAAGGUAAUCAUGGAGUUGGAUGAAAGUUUCAGCAGUCAGGUCUUGAACCCGUGCUUAUUGGGGAUGCCUGGCCAUAGCGCUGCCUGCUGCUUACCCUGCUUGGCCACAGCUCUGCACCGCCCCCAGAAGCAGGACUGAGGAACGGGUGGCUGGGGGUGGACAUGCGGACUGGCGGGUGUGGUACUCCCUGUGAUGCUCACACCCCACGUGGGAGGGCCUGGCGUCCAGUGCAGGCUCUGCUCCAGUUCUGACUCCUCCCAGACACACUGUGCGAGGCAGCAGGUGAAGGACAGGGGAACUUAAUCCCUACCGUCCACGUGGGAGAGCUGGGAUCAGAGAAGCUGACACACAGAGAGAAAGGACACCUCUCAUCCGAAGUUUGCCUGCACUCACUCCGAUGCAGGUAAGUAACCUGUGAAUUAAUUAAUUAAUUAAUUACUACAGAUCUUGAAGUUUCACUUUACCAUGUAGGAGAUCAGUGGGUCCUGUGGGCAUUUUGGGACCAAACUAGCUGAUGCAUGAUCACUCUUGUCUCUCUCUCUUCCUCGCUGUCUCAGUCCAUCUGUAGCUAUCCAUGAGAUGCUGCCACAGAACCUGAGGACCUGGAUUCACAUCUGAAGUCUUACAUCCGAUGGUUCACUCCCCAAAUGGCCACAAUGACCAGAGGUGCAGUACAAUGGCUGGAGCUGCAUUGAUCAAAGCCAGGAAGCAGGAACUGCUUCUGGGUGUUUUACGUGGGUGCAGGGGCCCAAGGAUGGAGGCCAUCUCCUACUGCUUUCCCAGGCCAUAACGGAGAGCUGGAUUGGAAGUGGAGCAGCUGUGACUUGAACUGGCAGCCAUAUGAGAUGCCCCACUGCAGGUGGCAGCUUUACCUCCUAUGGCACGGUGCCAGCCCCUGGGUGUGCCUUUUAAAUGCAGACAGUUUUGAUACUGAAAGGUCAAGUUGUGUGAUGUACAUUUGUAGCAACCGUCCUGAUAUUUCAUGGGAUGCCCAUCUCCAACCUUGCAGAGCCUGGGUUGGGGUCCAGGCCCCACGGGCAAUUCCAGCUUGCUGGGAUACACACUGAGGGAGGCAGCAGGUGACAGCUGAAGCACUUGGGAUCCUGCCACAGACCCUGGAGGCCUGGAGUCAGCUCCUGGGGCCUGGCUUCAACCUGACCCAGAGCUAAGUGUUGCUGAAAUUGGGCUGGGACUGAGUAGGUGGGAGGUUUCUGUCUGUUGGUCUUUUGGUCUCCCUCUGUCGUUCUGCCUUUUAUUGAUUGUGUUGAGAGAUUUUCUCUUUGUGAAAGACAAGAGGGACACAGAGAGCAGCAGAGACAGAAAGAGAGGUCUCCUCUGCUGAUUCAUUCACUGAAUGAUCAGAGGUUUGGCGGGGGGGUGUCCAGUGGGCAGCUAGGAGACAGAAAUUGUACCACGGACUCUCCCAUGUGAAUGGCAAUGUCCCACUUGGGCCGCCUUCCUCUUUAUUCCCAGGUAACUUAGCAUGGAGCUGCAAGGGCACCAUGCACCAGGAAUGCACCCCAUCUCAGUUAAGGAUUGUGGGAGUUGUAAGCUGCGUCAUUGCUUUCUGAGGAAGAUUGCCAGCACCCUCUCUGCUUUUGCAGAUAAUUAACCUAUUGAUUAAUUAAUUAAUUACUAUAGAUCUUAAAGUUUCACUUUACUCUGACAGGAGCAGCAGUAGGUUUUGUGGGCAUUGGGGACUGAAAUAGCUGAUGGAAGAUGUUUUUUCCCUCUCUUCCUCACUGUUUCAGUCCUUCUGUAGCUUGAUGUGUGUGCCUUUCAAAUACAAUUUUGAUCCUGAAAGGUGAAAUUGUGCUAUAUGUGUUUGUUUCAAUAGUUCUGCUGCUUCUUAGGGUGCCAGCGUCCCACCUUAUAGAGCCUGGAUUGAGGUCCAGACCCUACUGGCCAUUCCAGCUUGUCGGGACACACCCUGCAGGAGGCAGCAGGUGAUGGGUGAAGCCCUUGAGAUCCUGACACAGACCUGGAGGCCUGGUGUCAGCUCCUGGCACCGGGCAACACCCUGGCCCAGCACGAGUGGUCUCAGAGAUGUGGGAAGGAACACAGACCAUGGGAGAUUCCUGUCUGUUGGUGUGUCUCCCUGUGUCCCCCUUGGCGACAUGUUCCACUUUGAGAUUUCUAUCCUUAUUUGGAAAGGCAGAGUGACAAGGGAGCAGAAGAUGGUGCUUCAACUGUCCCCGCUGCCUCCUGCAGUGUGCAUCCCCAGCAAGUUGGCAUUGCCACUGGAGCCUAGAUCCCAUCCUCAUCUCUGAAGGUAGGACCUGUUUCCACAAAUGCACAUUAUACAACUUGAUCUUCAAGGAUGCAAAUUAUCUGUGUUGGAAAGGCACACAUAGAGAGCUACAGAUGCACUGGGACUGCAAGGAAGACAGAUAAAAGGGAAGUUUCAUCAGCUGGCUUGGACCCAGUUGGUCAUUCUGUCUCUCAAUGUCCCUCUCCUGGUGAAAUACUGCUUCUUAAGGUUUCUUUACUUAAUUGGAAAGGUAGAGUGACCGAGGGAGACAGAGCAAGACGUGGUCCAAACUGGUAUUCCUGGGGUUGGCAGGAGCCUGAGUACUGGGCUGUCUUCCUCUGCCUCCCAGGCACGCUAGCAGGGAGCUGCAUGAGAGGCAGAGCAUCGGCAGUGGAACCCCAGCUCCUACGGCUCAUGCACGGGUUGGAAGCAGAGAGUUAACACCCUCAGCCACGGAGCUAGCCGGCUCCCAGCCUUUCUGUCACUUAAUGACUGACUAAAUUUGUUAAUGAUAGGUAAAACCUGCCUUCCAGUGGAGCUGUCACGUAUAGGGAGGGAAUGCAUACUGCUGGGAUUUAGGGACUGAACCAGCACAUAGGACCGCUUCCCUUUCUGUUUCUCCUUGUCUCUCUGUCUUUCUCUCUGCCAUUCAAACCAACAAAAUAAGAAAUUGAUUUUAAUUUUGACCAUUAUAUUUGUCUGUUUGCUCUUCCUCUGAGAUUCCUGCAUCUGUUUGAAAGGCAGGGUUGUUGAGAGCCAGAGGGUCACAAAGUGGGAGAGGGACAGCGAUCUUUGAUGUGCCAGAGCCCUCCCCUGCUGCCUGCAGUUGCCUGGGCUGGGUUUGGCUGAAGCCAGGAGCCCACAAGACCAUCAGGUGUUGACUGAGGGUGUCACGGAGGCCAGGGAUCCUGGUUGUCCUCUGCUGAUUUCCAGGUGCGUUCUCUGUGAGCUGUAUGCCAGUGGAGCAGCAGUUACUCAAACCCACGUGCAAAUGGGCUGCCUGGCUAGGGCACCAGUUUCUCAUUCACCUGCCUCACCACAGCUCUGGCCGAGAGAAGCAGGAUGGAGGAACAUGCAGCUGGGGGUGGGGGAUCUGGGCUCUGGCAGGUGUGAUACUUCCUGUGAAGGGCAUACCACAUAUGGGAGGGCUUGGCUUUCAGUCCAGGCUCUGCUCCAGAGUUGAUUCCUGUCCCGAAACACUUUGGGUAGUAGCAGGUAACAGAGGAAUUCUGUCCCUGCCACCUUAUGGGAGACCUGGAUUCAGCUACUGGGGGCCAUGGUGUCAGUCUCACCCAUAAUUAGGGUUUCUGAAAUCUAGGGAGGGAAAGAGCAGAUGUGAGGUUUCCUUCUGUCUGUCUGUCCAUCUCUGUGUCACCUUUGGUCUCACUGCCUUUUACUGAUUGUGUUGAAAGAUAGUGUGGGGAGCAACUCGGACUAGACUAAGUUACUGGAAUUAAGACUUAUUCUAUGCAUCUGCUCUCCCACAAUAUGGCGCUGGGAGAGGAGUAAACAACUUCUACACAGCUGCCUCCAGUUCGACCAAUAACCUGCAGGAGCUGAUCCUGCUCCUGAUUGGAGGAGGGCAGCGUACUCGGCAUGUGGGUAGCAGAGUUGGGAUUGGUGGAAGAGGACUAUAAAGGAGGAGAGAGACAACAUGCACCAGGAACAUCUGGAUAACAUCUGAGCAGCCCCCGAGAGAGCCGGCCGGCGGUGUGCCGCUCCCCCACGGAAGUGGGGAAAGUGGUAGGGGGAGCCGCCCUUCCACGGAGGUGGAAGGAUCGGCAGCCAACCCAGGAAGAACCAGCAGCAAACCCGGGGAGGGCCGAGCAGACAAAAGAACAGCGCAGGGUUUAGUGUCGUUCCUCCGCGAAGAGGGGGAGCGACAGAUAGUUUCUCUCUUUGAACAGAGGAAAACAGAGAAAUCAGACACACAGCGAGAAGGUAUACCUCCCCUGCGAAGUUUGCCAUCCCUCUCUCUGCUUUUGCAGGUAAAUUUUCAAUAAUUAAUUAAU